CAGCAAUUUGUGCGUUUGGAAGCUCUCCCUCACGGUCCCUUUCCUGUUAUCGCUUUCGCCGCCUCAUCUUAGCUUCCCUUUUCUUUUUUCAUUUGUUUCUCAUUCUAGGUCAUAUAGUUGGAGAGGGAGAGAUUCAAGGUAUGACUAAGGAUCUGGAUAAGGAGUUUCGAAAGCUAAAUUGCAGAACGACGGGUGGAUUCAUAAAGUUGGUGCUUAUCGAAAGCAGAAAAUCCUUCUCUUUGUAAAUUUGCAUCAUUUUUAUCCUGCUGCUAACUUCUCCUAUGCAUUCUCUUCUCCGCUUUCAAUUUUUGUUCGGCUGUUACCUCUCCGAAGCUGACAAGAGCUAUCCAACAAAGAGUGCAGAGUUAAUAACUUGUAAGGCAUGCCCAAGGGUUUCAUAAUGUAGCAGGAGAAAAAGAACAUAGUGCAUACAUGUCAGAAGAGUUUUUUGAUGCAAAACUCAUACAUCUUGGCUAAUAUCAGGGUUAUACUGUUAGAGAGUUCUAAAAGCAGGGUGUUAAGCAAGGUGAACUUGCAAUUAUUUUUAAAGAAGCGGUUGCUCCUUAUGAGCGUCCAACUCUUAGCAAGGGAUCCCUUCUUCCUGAGAUUAAGUUUUCAAAACUUCUAAAUCAUCAAAGUUGAAAAAUAUAACAACAUACAACUUCCAUUGGAACAUGAAAGACGGGCUUUACUUGGAUUGGUGUUAGAGCUACUUAUGCAGGAAAUAGACCACAUGGCAAAAUCUAAUUACAAGUUGUUGAUCAAAUAUCAGGUCUAAUUGUGUGGUGGAGUUGGUGCCCUAA